UUAAAGAUUAUUGAUAAAAUAAAGACAUUUUUGUCUAAAUUAUGCAGGUCAGAUAUUAGGUUUGCUAAAUGCUUUAAGGCCAUAAACUGCUUUGACUUUUGAAAAUCAUUCAAUUUAUUUUGGAGACAUUAAAUUCUAAAUAAGGCCUGGGAUAUAUGGAAUUAAAUAAGAAAUAAACUCCCUUAUGUUUGAGCUAUUAUUUAUAUUCGACUUGUUAUUUGUAAGGAUAGCCAGCAUUAUUUUUACUAAUAGAAAAUUUAGUAACUUAAAUAGGUUACUACUCUUAGUUGCUCAUUUAUUGGGUAGGGCCUCGUGGUUCACACCUGUAAUCCCAGUACUUUGGGAGACCAAGGCAAGUGGAUCACGAGGUCAGGUGAUCGAGACCAACCUGGCCACCACGGUGAAACCCUGUCUCUACUAAAAAUACAAAAAUUAGCCAGACGUGGUGGCAUGCUCCUGUAAUCCCAGCUACUCGGGAGGCUAACAAAAAAAAAAAAAUCUCAUUUAUUGCUGUGUUUAAGCCUUCUAAGAAGAUAAUGUGUUCUUUUUUGAGCACUAUAUGAGGUAGUUGUACUUUUCUGACAAGGAAAACUUUG
rnacentral:lncRNA from 1 species